rnacentral:rRNA from 1 species
GAUGAACGCUAGCGGCAGGCCUAACACAUGCAAGUCGAGGGAGAAGCCCUUCGGGGCAGAAACCGGCGCACGGGUGCGUAACGCAUAUGCAACCUACCUUUCACAGGGGGAUAGCCCGAAGAAAUUUGGAUUAAUACCCCAUAAUAUUAUUGGAUGGCAUCAUUUGAUAAUUAAAAUUACGAUGGUGAAAGAUGGGCAUGCGUCCUAUUAGCUAGUUGGAGUGGUAACGGCACCCCAAGGCUACGAUAGGUAGGGGUCCUGAGAGGGAGAUCCCCCACACUGGUACUGAGACAGGGACCAGACUCCUACGGGAGGCAGCAGUGAGGAAUAUUGGUCAAUGGUCGGAAGACUGAACCAGCCAUGCCGCGUGCAGGAAGAAUGCCUUAUGGGUUGUAAACUGCUUUUAUAUGGGAAGAAUAAGGUGUACGUGUACAUUGAUGACGUACCAUAUGAAUAAGC